rnacentral:rRNA from 1 species
UACGUAGGGUGCGAGCGUUGUCCGGAAUUAUUGGGCGUAAAGGGCUCGUAGGCGGUUUGUCGCGUCGGGAGUGAAAAUCCAGGGCUUAACUCUGGACUGGCUUUCGAUACGGGCAGACUAGAGGUAUGCAGGGGAGAACGGAAUUCCUGGUGUAGCGGUGAAAUGCGCAGAUAUCAGGAGGAACACCGGUGGCGAAGGCGGGUCUCUGGGCCGUAACUGACGCUGAGGAGCGAAAGCGUGGGGAGCGAACAGG